UACGGGGGGGGCAAGCGUUGUUCGGAAUUACUGGGCGUAAAGGGUUUGUAGGCGGCCAACUAAGUCAGACGUGAAAUCCCUCAGCUUAACUGGGGAACUGCGUCUGAUACUGGAUGGCUUGAGUGCAGGAGAGGGAUGCGGAAUUCCAGGUGUAGCGGUGAAAUGCGUAGAUAUCUGGAGGAACACCGGUGGCGAAGGCGGCAUUCUGGACUGUAACUGACGCUGAGGAGCGAAAGCUAGGGGAGCAAACGGG
rnacentral:rRNA from 1 species